UUAAAAAUAUGAAAUUGCACAACCCGCACGCUCGAACCCUAUCGUUCUUCUUCUUUCUCCUUCUGCUUGAGUUCGUCUUUGUCGCAAACUGGCCUGCACUUCCGUGACUGCAACCACAUUGUGGAGUUCGUGUUUGUGGAGUUCGUCUCUGCCACUUAUCGAUUGAGGUAUGUCCUUUCAUUUUAACAUUAGGCGUUCGUCAUUUUAACAUUUGCUUACUUUCGCAACUCGAAGAAAACUAGGAAAGGAAAGAGUCCCAGAAAGGGUGGGAAUCGAUUUUGGAAGUCCAUUGUGGUUCGCGUUAAGACUCCUAGGGCGUUCUUCUUCUUUCUCCUUCUGCCUGAGUUCGUCUUUGUCGCAAGCUGGGCUGCGCUUCCGUGACUGCAACGACAUUGUGGAGUUCGUCUUUGUGGAGUUCGUGUCUGGCACUUAUCGAUUGAGACAUUAGGUUACUCAAGUAAGAUCAUCAAGGCUGCCAGUUACAUUGUCCCUCCUUUAUCAGGGCUCUCAAAGGGCCCAUCCCUUGUACUUAGAAAAUAGGAUUCUGCUCCAAAGCUGGUCUGAUUGGUGAACAAUCAUUGAUGUUUUUGAGUUCACUUAAGUUGGUCUUGCGGUCAUUGUUGGAAAGUGAAUUGUGCUGAAGCCUCGAACUCAGGUAUUUAUAUGUUUUAUUCGAAAACUACUAUCAAAUUGU